rnacentral:lncRNA from 1 species
UAAGAAGUCCAGCUACCCUGAGGCCGUGGACUGCAGCUGCACUCCAGUCUUUAAGCCCAGCUGUGCUCGGGUGUCUCACUUUCUACACCCCACCCUCAGCAUCAGAUAUACUCUAUCUCAGAAGCAAAAAGCCAUCCAUGAACAAAGACCUGGGACCAAGCCGACUCAUAAUACUAGUGGGAAACGGCCCCACCAGCAGCCCGCACCUGCAUCCUGCUCUCCCGCUGCCUCACUGGACCCUUGCAGUUAACUGGGACUUCAGCAGAGCAGAGCCUCAUCUUACGGAGGUCAAGUGUCCCACUGCUGCAGGGCCUUCAACCUGGAUCAUCCAGGUCUUCACAGGACUCCUCCCCCAGAAUGAUGCCUCCUUUGACAAUAGCUGGAGAUGUCAGAAAUGAGAUCAUUACUCAGCACUGGAUGCAGUGCUAUCUGGUGAUGUAGGAAUAGGAGAGGUAUCCAUUGGUUCAGACUCUUCAGUUGACGCCUCCACUGUAGUUUCUGUAAUGACAUCUGGCCUCAUAGCAGCAUGGAUAAAUUCUGGAGUUGAUACACAGGAGGGACAAAUACUUCCACAGGACUUCUCGAAUCCCUCAAGCAGCCCAUGCCAUAGCAUUGGUGUCUAUGUGUGUUGGGAAGCAAGCCAAUGACGAUCCCAGUUUGGACAACAAAUUCUGUAGUCACCUGGAGCUGGGAAUCAGACCUGGAGCUCUGACAGCUUCUCAUCCUCCAGGUGAAGGUUCCAGCAACGACCACCAGCCUGGUGCCCUCGAUUGGCCUUGGUUCCAAAGCGGGCAGUGGUGAUUAACAGUCCGAGGCACACUGGAGGUCCGAAGCCAUGUCAGCUCCUGUGCUGGCCUGAGUAGCCGUGUCUGCCCCACGUGACCGGGAAGUCAAACACUCAGCCUCCCUGGCAUCUGCCCCAGGCCCAUCCGGAUGGAUGGCAUCAUGGUGAUGGGAGGAAGCACUCCCCACUUUGUGACCUGAAGGUCAAGACAGUGCUCUUUCCCAGCCCAGCUAAGGAGUCCUCUUUAACCUUGUAACAGCCAUCAGUCUACUUGGUUGUCAUGGAAACACAAACCAAAGAUCCCUCUUUCUCAUUAGGAUCCCAUCACAUUCCGGCGUCUUAGGGAGAAGCUUUGGGAAUAGCCAGGCGUCAUGGUGGUGAGCACCUGCAGUCCCAGCUGACUCAGGAGGCUGAGGCAAGAGGAUCGCCUGAGGCCAGGAGUUCUAGGCUGCAGUGAGCAAUGAUUGUGCUACUGCACUCCAGGCUGGGCAACAAAAAGAGACCCUAUGUCUAAAAAGUAAAUAAAUAAUUUAAAUUU